ensembl:lncRNA
CCACCACACACACUCAGGGGUCGCCAGCCUUCAGGCCGCAGGCCACUAUCUCCUCUCAGAGAUACAUCUAAAUGACAGGGUUGCACUGGGGAUCUAUUGUGAAAGCAGAGGAUGGACGGUACAUGAUUAAAAGGCAGAGAGAUCUGAAGAGCUGAGAGUGACAGGUACUUGCCUGUAUUUCCGUGGAUUGAUUCCAGUGGCAACAUUCUUCAGCAACAACCUGAGGAAGAAUCGACUUUUUGAUUUAGCCCUUAUGAUUCAGAGAAGAAACAAUAUGAAGAUUUUUGCCUUUAGAAGAUGAAAGAUUAGAAAGAGAAUGUAGAAUUUAAAUGGAUCCUUAUUUUUCCUAUGCAGGCAUGACUGACCCCAGCAGCUUCACUCAUUGCUUUCAAAUUCUAUCACUCAUCUGAAACGACGUGAUUCUUCUGCCUUCAGGAGUUUUGCUUGGCCUGCAGUACAUAGUCCUUCUGCAGGUAUCUGAGGAAGAAAUGUACCAUAGCUUCAUCUGCUCAGUCCUCUCCUAAGGGACUUCCUCUCUUAGGUAACCUAGAGCACGAGAUUUUGCUUUGCAAGAAAAUACAGAAUUGCAGUUAUUCCUCCAACAAUGAAUACCUGAUUGACUGAUAAUCAAGCAUAUGCCC